rnacentral:rRNA from 1 species
ACAAGCUGUGUCUAACACGGACGAGACCGCGGACGGCUCAUUAAAUCAGCUCGUGGUCCAAAUGGGCCUGUGUUAUGCUUACUUGGAUAACUGUGGUAAUUCCAGAGCUAAUACAUGCAACCUAUAUCCCGAUGGCGUUGCGCUUUCUUGUAUUGCGUAUUCGUUCUGACGGAUGCUUUUAUUAGACCAAACCGCUGGGGGCGUGUGGUGUCAUGCUUCGGUGUGCGCUCUCGCUUGACUCGUGUAAUGGNGACUCUGAAUAACCUUUUUGACAAGCGCACGUACCCCUCUUUUGAGUGGGACGGCGCUGCCACUUUCGAGUGUCUGCCUUAUCAGCUAUCAACCGUUCGUUAUGUGCGACCGAUGGCUUUGACGGGUAACGGGGAAUCAGGGUUCGAUUCCGGAGAGGCAGCCUGAGAAACGGCUACCACGUCCAAGGACGGCAGCAGGCACGCAAAUUACCCAAUCCCAGCAACUGGGGGAGGUAGUGACGAAAUCUAACGAUGCGGGCGCCCUUUCUGGGGCCCCGCAAUCGGAAUGGGCACUUUCUAAACAACCUGUUGAGAACCUACUGAAGGGCAAGUCUGGUGCCAGCAG